UUUAUAAACCACAUCACUUGAACCAGUCUUGAAGGGAAGGUAGGAUUUAGGUGUGUGGAAAGAGAUAGAAGCUUUCACUCAUGAUGUCAACAGUGCAUUUAAAGUUUCCUGCAGAGAGGAAAUAUGCAGAUCACAAUGAAGGGCAAUGCUCAGGAAGCUGUUUUCAAGGAGAUCCAGGGCUAGGAGAAAAAGUCUUCAAAAAAUGUCUACCUAAAGCAAAGUGAG